rnacentral:tRNA from 1 species
GUCCCCAUAGCUUAAUGGAAGAGCACAGCCCUGCGGAGGCUGGGAUGGAGGUUCGAUUCCUCCUGGGGACA